CCCCACCCCACCCCCGCUAUUGAGGGUGGAGACAGGGAUUACUGGGGCCUGCUGGCUGCUGGCUGCUGGCUGCCACACCAGCUCUAGGUUCAGUGAGAGACCCUGUCUCAAGGGAAUAAAGACAGAGAUUGAAAACCACCUGAUGGGCUGGAGAGAUGAUGGCUCAGUGGUUAAGAGCACUGACUGUUCUUCCAGAGGUCCUGAGUUCAAAUCCCAGCAACCACAUGGUGGCUCACAACCAUCUGUAAUGAGAUCUGAUGCCCUCUUCUGGUGUGCCUGAAGGCAGCUACAGUGUACUCGUAUAUAAUAAAUAAAUCUUUAAAAAAAAAGAAAAAAA
rnacentral:lncRNA from 1 species